rnacentral:sRNA from 1 species
GCCGGGUGUGGUGGCGCACACCUGUAAUCCUAGCAUCUCAGGAGGCUGAGGCAGGAGGAUCACAAGUUUAAGGCCAGCCUCAACAACUUAGGCCUUAAACAACUUGGUGAGACCCUGUCUCUA